GAUGAGCAUGCGUCCCAUUAGCUUGUUGGUAAGGUAACGGCUUACCAAGGCAACGAUGGGUAGGGGUCCUGAGAGGGAGAUCCCCCACACUGGUACUGAGACACGGACCAGACUCCUACGGGAGGCAGCAGUGAGGAAUAUUGGUCAAUGGGCGCAAGCCUGAACCAGCCAUGCCGCGUGCAGGAUGACGGUCCUAUGGAUUGUAAACUGCNUNNNUACGAGAAGAAACACUCCUUCGUGAAGGAGCUUGACGGUAUCGUAAGNAUAAGGAUCGGCUAACUCCGUGCCAGCAGCCGCGGUAANNCGGAGGAUCCAAGCGUUAUCCGGAAUCAUUGGGUUUAAAGGGUCCGUAGGCGGUUUAAUAAGUCAGUGGUGAAAGCCCAUCGCUCAACGGUGGAACGGCCAUUGAUACUGUUAGACUUGAAUUAUUAGGAAGUAACUAGAAUAUGUAGUGUAGCGGUGAAAUGCUUAGAGAUUACAUGGAAUACCAAUUGCGAAGGCAGGUUACUACUAAUUG
rnacentral:rRNA from 1 species